UACAGAGGUCCCAAGCGUUGUUCGGAUUCAUUGGGUGUAAAGGGUGCGUAGGUGGCGCCGUAAGUCGGGUGUGAAAUUUCGGAGCUUAACUCCGAAACUGCAUUCGAUACUGCGGUGCUUGAGGACUGGAGAGGAGACUGGAAUUCAUGGUGUAGCAGUGAAAUGCGUAGAGAUCAUGAGGAAGACCAGUGGCGAAGGCGGGUCUCUGGACAGUUCCUGACACUGAGGCACGAAGGCCAGGGGAGCAAACGGG
rnacentral:rRNA from 1 species